rnacentral:rRNA from 1 species
GCGGUAAUUCCAGCUCUGUAAGCGUAUACCCAAGUUGUUGCAGUUAAAACGCUCGUAGUCGGAAGUUGGCGGGCGAGACGGGGCGUCUUCGCGGACGGACCCGGCUUGGCCGCCUUUGUGGAGGGGGGCGCGUUGCCGCUUGAGUGCGGUGUCGUUGCCGCUGCCACCGUUUACUGUGAAAAAAUUAGAGUGUUCAAAGCGGGCGUUUGCCAUGAAUACCUUAGCAUGGAAUAAUAGAAUAGGACCUGCGUUCUGUUUUGUUGGUUUGUGAGGACCGGGUAAUGAUUAAGAGGGACGGUUGGGGGCAUUUGUAUUCCGGCGUCAGAGGUGAAAUUCUCGGAUU